CUUUCUGGUGGUACAUCAACAUCAUUCAAGUGGAAGAUUUGCUAUAAGGUGCAAUACACCUUUAGCACUCCAGGAGUCACUUGUGAUAUGCCAAGGCUCACCCAGUUGUGCUGUGCACAGCCUCCUUCAAGGAGGCCAGCUCACUCCCUAACCAACAGAGACGCUCUAGCGACAGACGCUAGAGACUGCAGCUUUUAGCCUCCUUGUUGCCCAUUUUCUCUUACAGUUUGCAGGAGGAUAUGUUGAGUUUACUCUUGCCAUAAUCGCCAAUGGCUUGCAGAGAUUUAUUCAUAUUUUUCAUGGUAAUUUAGUUAUAUUUUUGGCUAUUUUAAAAUCUGCAUGUGCAGAUUAAACGCAAAUACUCAAAUCUUGAAGCAGCAUAAUACAUUUAACACAGCCUAACUGCGCAGCAUUUGCGCAUAUACGACUUACUGUACUUGAAUAUACCUGUCACUAACUAUGCAUGUGUCUGGGGGGUUUUAAACUUAAAACUAUGCGAAGGACCCCCAAAUUAGAUGAACUUUUUUGUAAGGGGCCCCUUCUGAAAUACAUAUACAUCUAUUUUUAUUGUGUAAAGAAACAUUUAAAUGUGAUAUUAUGAUGACAACAUGUUGGUUCCAUUUACAUAUAGUCAUUUAGCAGACGCUUUUAUCCAAAGCGACUUACAGAGAGUUCAGGGAGCAAUAAGCGAUGUCACACAGGAGCAGUAAUACAACAGGUGAUAAUACAAAGUAACUUGUUUCAACAAACGCUAGAUUCACUACCUGUUGAGAGAAUGACAGAGGGUUAGUUAUUUUAUGUUAUAUUUUUUUCAUUUGUCUGUCGAGUAUUCACAGAAGAGAUGGGUCUUAAGUAGAGAUGCACCGAUUGCAAUUUUCUUUGCCGAUUAUUAUAAGUGAAACCUGCAGAUUCCGAUACACAUUUUUUUUAUAUAUUUUUAUUAUCAUUACAUAAAUUAUUGAACAUUUCAAUUUCCCUAAAUACAGUUCUCCAACCUGCAAUAAAUUACAGAAUCUAAUCUUGCCCAAAUAUAUUCCUCUUAAAUUAAAGAACUCUGUGACUGAAAAUAAGUAUAAAUAUUAAAAUAUAACUAAACUUAAUCAUUUUUGUAUUCUCACAAAAGUCUAAGAUAGCAAUAAAAUAUUUCAACUUUA